rnacentral:rRNA from 1 species
UACGAAGGGGGCUAGCGUUGCUCGGAAUCACUGGGCGUAAAGGGCGCGUAGGCGGCCUGAUAAGUCAGGGGUGAAAUCCCAGAGCUCAACUCUGGAACUGCCUUUGAUACUGGCGACCUAGAGUCCGGAAGAGGUUAGUGGAAUUCCCAGUGUAGAGGUGAAAUUCGUAGAUAUUGGGAAGAACACCAGUGGCGAAGGCGGCUAACUGGUCCGGUACUGACGCUGAGGUGCGAAAGCGUGGGGAGCAAACAGG